GGAUGUGAGGGUGAUGUGGCGGCAACAUCUGUCACCCGGCCGACUGGCUGACCCAGAUGGCUGGGGGUGUCCCCUUCUUCCAAAGCUGUGUGCUCUGUCAGAGAGGACGGCCUUUCCAAACAGAGAUGGGCUGAUCUUUGGUCGAGGGUCUGCGAGCAGCUGCUCUCCUGUACUAGAACUUCCAAACAAGCUCUCAACAGAAACUUAUAAAGGCCAGAAAGGACUGGCAGGAUAGAGUAUGAAUUUUCUAAAGCUCUCCACCCAAGGCUUUGAUA
ensembl:misc_RNA 7SK 7SK RNA